rnacentral:lncRNA from 1 species
CAUUUUAAAGGGAAGAAAAAUCUGCAAAGUGGAGCACUCUCAGCAGCCCAUCUGUUGUGGGCCGGCAAGGGGCUGAUCUGGAACCAGGAACUGGGAACAGAGCAGGGGGUGUGGGUGUCAGGCCACACAGAGUUUGGAAGCCUGCCAGGUCCUGGUCCUACUAAAACCUGAAAGACCAACAGAGCUGAGUCGUCACUUCCUGCCCCGCCUCCCCAGGGCACAAUGGGAACACUGUUGUUGUGUGCCCCGCUCAGCAUGUGCAGAAGUUGAACAGAAACUACCUCCUUCAACGUUCCUGAUUUCCAGAGGGUGCUUUCCAGCACCAGCACAUGACUCCACACUGCCAGGAAAAUGUGGGAGCGCCCAGGAGAUUGAGCCUUAGGACAAGCAAAUG